GAAUAACAAUUGAAGCAUACCCAGUAUCAUCGCCAGAGCUCUGGUAACAAUGUCUCUCACCCCAUUAUUACAACUCCUUGAUGAUUUCUUUAGCAAUUUGCUUGAAUCAUCACUAAUGAAUAAGUAGGCUGGUUAGUGAAAUCAGAGCAGAUUAGUAUGCCUCAUCCCUUUUGUCUAGCAAGCAUUUGCUUCAGUUAGUCCCAUUGUCGAUCUUACAAAACGUAGGAUCAGAUUUACCAUGCAGGCUGCACAAAACACAGACGCUCAAACAAGCUACCUGGGAUUACACGCUGCUACAAUGUUCCCGGUAGGUGCAGCAAUUGCAGGAAAACUGAUGCAUCAAAACAUCAUCCACUCAAUCGACUAAGAAAAAGCAGAUUUAGGCCCCAGCUACUUUGCCUGGAAAGAAAAAUGUUUACAUGGCAUGAAGUUUAUUCAUUCAAAAUACUAUCUCAAGUCUGCCUAAAAAGCAGACUUAACGAAAAAAGCUGGAUUUAUGCUGGAUUAAGAUAGUAUUAUUUUACACAGCUUUCCAGAUACACAUUAUACUUAAAGAGGAUUUGCAGAGAGUAGCAGUAGCUUACAACAUGUAAAUGACAACAAUAUAAAACCUAUAAAAGGGUUGAUGCUUAUUAAGGAUGCUUACCAGCAAAUUUCAGCAUACCUGCCGGGCAAAACCUCAUGUAAUUUCAGGAUGAUGAGUAACUAUCAAGCAAGUCACCUUUAAAUCCUUUCUCAUCAUGAAAAUAAGAAAACAGCACCCAUCAC
rnacentral:lncRNA from 1 species